rnacentral:rRNA from 1 species
AUUGAACGCUGGCGGCAGGCCUAACACAUGCAAGUCGAACGAGUGGCGGACGGGUGAGUACUGUCUGGGAAACUGCCUGCUGGAGCGGGAUAACUACUGGAAACGGUAGCUAAUACCGCAUACCAUCGGAUGUUCCCAGAUGGGAUUAGCUAGUCGGGUGGGUAAAGGCGCACCAAGGCGAAGAUCCCUAGCUGGUCUGAGAGGAUGACCAGCCACACUGGAACGGAUACACGGUCCAGACUCCUACGGGAGGCAGCAGUGGGGAAUAUUGCACAAUGGGCGAAAGCCUGAUGCAGCCAUGCCGCGUGUAUGAAGAAGGCCUUCGGGUUGUAAAGUACUUUCAGCGGGGAGGCGUUACCCGCAGAAGAAGCACCGGCUAACUCCGUGCCAGCAGCCGCGGUAAUAC